rnacentral:rRNA from 1 species
UACGGAGGGGGCUAGCGUUGUUCGGAAUUACUGGGCGUAAAGCGCACGUAGGCGGCUUUGCAGGUCCGCUGUGAAAACUCGAGGCUCAACCUCGAGCUGUCGGUGGAAACCGUAAAGCUAGAGUCCGGAAGAGGAGAGUGGAAUUCCCGGUGUAGCGGUGAAAUGCGCAGAUAUCGGGAAGAACACCCGUGGCGAAGGCGGCUCUCUGGGACGGUACUGACGCUGAGACGCGAAAGCGUGGGGAGCGAACAGG